CCUACGGGAGGCUGCAGUGAGGAAUAUUGGUCAAUGGCCGAGAGGCUGAACCAGCCAAGUCGCGUGAGGGAAGAAUGUCCUAUGGAUUGUAAACCUCUUUUGUCAGGGAGCAAAGUCACCCACGUGUGGGUGUUGGAGAGUACCUGAAGAAAAAGCAUCGGCUAACUCCGUGCCAGCAGCCGCGGUAAUACGGAGGAUGCGAGCGUUAUCCGGAUUUACUGGGUGUAAAGGGCGUGUAGGCGGGACUGCAAGUCAGAUGUGAAAACCACGGGCUCAACCUGUGGCCUGCAUUUGAAACUGUAGUUCUUGAGUGAGCGAGAAGUAUGCGGAAUGCGUGGUGUAGCGGUGAAAUGCAUAGAUAUCACGCAGAACUCCGAUUGCGAAGGCAGCAUACCGGCGCUCAACUGACGCUGAGGCACGAAAGCGUGGGGAUCGAACAGGAUUAGAUACCCCUGUAGUC
rnacentral:rRNA from 1 species